CUCUCUCCUGGGCCUCCUUCUUUCCGGACCACCCAGCAGUUGCUCCCACCCUUUCCUCCCAAUCCCUAAUUUAUAAACACCAAAUUUUCUAUAGUUCUCUGCUGAAACUUCUCCAAGACUCUUCUGAAUGGUGGGACCAAAACCAACCGCACACAGCGUUCUCAUCCAGGUCUGGCCAAAGAUUUUUUUCCACUAGGAUUCCUACUGCACAGAAGAGAAAGAAGGUGAGGCUUUUCAAGGGAAGGCUAAGAGAAGUUAUGCCAAAAGCAGCUGCGGUGAGGAAUCCAGUUCUGGAGGUAUUUUUCCAGCUCCGUGAUUCCCGUAGUCCCCCGUGCAAGCCCACUCGACUGCUAGGAGAAGCACAGGGCCACCUUCAAGACCCAGGAAACUUUGGAUAAGACAAGGACUCACAGGACAAUGCCUUUCUGGGCCUGGGCUGGGCCGUCCUCUGUCUGUGGGCUUCCCCUAUCCACCUGCAGUCCAAGAAUUCCAGAUACAACAGCACACGGUGCUGGAAGAAAAGCCGUUGGGCGGUGGGCCACCUCACUCAUUCACAGAGUAAAGGGCAUCUCGGGAGGCUUGCUUUCCGCAGCCCUGCAGCAGCCCCAGACCUAGAAUAGGCAGGAAGCUCCGGGUCGCCAGGCUCCCCUUGCAGAGAACUUGGAACACAAGGACGGCUGCCACCCAGAGCAUUCAACACACGCUGCAGUACCCAUGGUGUAUUGUCCAGGCAUUCUGUUGGGUACUCAAAUGCAUGAUUCCAUAGAACCCCAGCAUUAGCCCAACAGUUAUAGGUUCUAUUACAAUCUGGAUUUUUAUAGAUGAUGAUGCUAGAGAGGUCAACUAAAAUAAAUAAAUAAAAUGACCAAAAGACACACAACCAGUAAGUGACGGAGCUAGAACCAAACCCAGCUCUGCCUGACUCCAAAGCCCAGACUUGGAGCACUAUCCCCUUUGAAAAGUUAUCUAUUCCAGCAGCCUCAUUUCAUGAGGAGCAGAGAAAGAAGAUAACAUUUCCAUCGGAGCAUCUCAUUUCACAGAGAGCAGUGAAGGCUCAGGUCAUGGGCACACUGAGGCUGUGAUGUCUGGAGCAUCCUCCUCAAACCCUGAGCAAGGCCUUGUCAUGGUCCUCUGAUAGAAAUCCAGGGAAAGUCAGCUUCUCCAAUCCUCAUUUCAUCUCAUUCCAUUAACCUUGCCCUCUGCCUACUUCAAGACCAGCAUCAUCUCCAAAGGACCCUGAGCUACCCAAGCAGCACCCACAGAAGGACUUUCCAUGCACAGCAGAUGCCAGCUCUGGAAAGGAAAUGCAAUGAACACAUUUGCUGAUGUGGACCUUGAGCACAGCCUCAACACAAGCCAGCAUCGCUCCCCAGGGGCUAAGCCUCAGAGCCACGCCGUCUCCUUCCUCUCUGCCCUCUGUCUGCAAGAGGGACUGAAUAAACAGCCUGUACCUUGAGCCCCCAGCCAAAUGUCUGCCCUGUUUCCCUCAGCUACCAAGGGCUGAUUGUAUCUGCACAGGAAGAAGGGCACUCAUGCUCAGAGGACUGAGGUGUAUGUACUCAUGAGCAUAUGAAGCUGCCGAGGCGGGGGUUGAGUUUCUUUGGAUGAAGCCUAAAAAUAUUUGAUAUUUUCUUUGGCAAAUACUGUAAUAAAAUGGUACUCACUUCCUUACCAAGACGCAGAUCCAAUUUAAAAUAGCCAUAUUUUAAUAAAACCAGUGGAGCAGUGCCUGGAUCAUUGCCUGGCACUCAAAAGAUGCUCAAUAAAUAUUUGUUGAAUGAACUGCAUUCAUUCUAGCAUAAUCUGUCCUUUCCUAAACAUCUGAUGCGAUCCUGGCUACUCUCAUCUAGACUUGAGUUUUUCCUGUUUCUUUUAAUCCUUCCCUUUUUAAAGUUCUCAGAUGGGGCAUUAAGCAAAUCUUCUUUCAUCCUGCAGCUGGCUGCCCAGGAACAAUGAAUUGGUCACUCAGCAGCUCAGAAAUGAAAAUCUCCUGGCCACAGGCUCCCUGUCCACUUGGCCAACCUGGCGGUCCCCUUCACUGGCCUCACCCCAGAAGGAGCCCCAACCACCUUCUGAUGGUCCUCAAACUGGGGCAGCAUUCAGGGCUGCCUGCCCUUCUCUGGAGAUGAAAGGCCCAGAAAUCCACAAGGGCAAGAUGUCCUCUGAUUAUUUGAGGGCAUCCCUCCCCUUGUAGAUUCCUCAUUGAGUGAUGUCCCUAAUUCCCAGGCCUCAGAUUUGGGUCCUUGAAGGAGGACUAAAGAACCAAGAAGGGCCGGGGAUGGAGUCAAAGCUCAA